rnacentral:rRNA from 1 species
GACGAACGCUGGCGGCGUGCUUAACACAUGCAAGUCGAACGGAAAGGCCCUGCUUUUGUGGGGUGCUCGAGUGGCGAACCGGUGAGUAACACGUGAGUAACCUGCCCUUGACUUUGGGAUAACUUCAGGAAACUGGGGCUAAUACCGGAUAGGAGCUCCUGCUGCAUGGUGGGGGUUGGAAAGUUUCGGCGGUUGGGGAUGGACUCGCGGCUUAUCAGCUUGUUGGUGGGGUAGUGGCUUACCAAGGCUUUGACGGGUAGCCGGCCUGAGAGGGUGACCGGCCACAUUGGGACUGAGAUACGGCCCAGACUCCUACGGGAGGCAGCAGUGGGGAAUAUUGCACAAGGGGCGGAAGCCUGAUGCAGCAACGCCGCGUGCGGGAUGACGGCCUUCGGGUUGUAAACCGCUUUCGCCUGUGACGAAGCGUGAGUGACGGUAAUGGGUAAAGAAGCACCGGCUAACUACGU